AGCUGCCGCGCCGGGGCCUGAGUGACCGCCUCCUGCGCCGCCGGCGGACCCGGAGCGCCCCGCACAGGUUUAGACCCCGUGUGCCUGUCGGGCUGUGCCCAGGUUCGGAGCCAUGCCAGUUUGUGGGUGAAACUCGAGGCAGUGAUGGAGCCACUGCACCCUCAGCAGAAGCAGCCGCCGCCGCCACAGCCACCCCACCUGGCUCCUCUGCAGAUGGAUGCCAGAGAGAAGCAGGGGCAGCAGAUGAGAGAAACCCCGUUCUUGUACACCCAGAAGCUGGUCACACAGCAGACUCACCUUUCUGCCACACCUGGGAGGCCUUCUGGCAGCCCUGCCCUGGGUCCCUCAGCCAGAGUUCCACCGGCCACUGCAGGGGCCCGAGUUUUUGAACAGAGCAAGGUGAACUCAGAGCCUGAGGAAGAGGAAGGAGGUUUGGAAGGUGAGGAUGGGGAUGAUGAAGUUGCAGAGGUGCCUGAGAAACAGACCCAGGCUGCUUCAAAAUAUUUUCAUGUGCAGAAGGUGGCUCGCCAAGACCCCAGAGCAGCUCCCUUAACUGGUCUGCUCCCAGCACCAGGGCUCGCACCCCAUGGACAGCAAGCUAAAGAAGACCAUACCAAAGAUGCUUCGAAAACCUCCGCUUCAGUCUCUGCGGCAGGGCAGCCGGGCUGGAACCUGGAUGAGCAGCUCAAGCAGAAUGGUGGUUUGGCCUGGAGUGACGAUGCAGAUGGAGGCCGGGGAAGAGAGAUCUCUCGUGAUUUUGCCAAGCUGUAUGAACUGGACAGUGACCCGGAGAGGAAAGAGUUCCUGGAUGACCUCUUCGUCUUUAUGCAGAAGAGGGGGACCCCUAUCAACCGAAUCCCCAUCAUGGCCAAGCAGAUCCUGGACCUGUACAUGCUGUAUAAGCUGGUGACGGAGAAGGGGGGCCUGGUGGAGAUCAUCAACAAGAAGAUCUGGAGAGAGAUCACCAAAGGCUUGAACCUGCCCACGUCCAUCACCAGCGCGGCCUUCACCCUGAGGACCCAGUAUAUGAAAUAUCUCUAUGCCUACGAGUGCGAGAAGAAAGCCUUGAGCUCCCCUGCUGAGCUGCAGGCGGCCAUUGACGGCAACAGGAGGGAGGGUCGGCGGCCCAGCUACAGUUCCUCCCUCUUUGGCUACUCACCCACCGCCGCCGCCGGGGCCCCUGCCCUCCUCUCCCCACCCAAGAUCCGCUUCCCCAUCCUUGGGCUGGGCUCCAGUGGUGGCACCAGUGCCAGCGGCUCUCGAAUGUCCCCGGCAGCUCCUCUCAGGAAAGGUGAUGGAGUCCCAGUGACCACCGUGCCCGUGCCAAAUCGCCUGGCUGUGCCUGUGACUUUGGCUGGCCAGCAGGCCAGUACCCGGACGGCCACGCUGGAGCAGCUGCGGGAGCGGCUGGAGUCAGGGGAGCCUCCGGAGAAGAAGGUGUCCAGGCUGUCAGAAGAGGAGCAGCGUCUGGUGCAGCAGGCUUUCCAGCGCAACUUGUUCAACAUGGCGCGGCAGCUGCCCAUGAAGAUCAGGAUCAACGGCAGGGGUGAGCAGCAGCCUGUGCACCAGGCCCCGGCUCCACUCAGGGUGGGUUCACGUCCGGGGACUGGGGUGGGGGCCCUCCAGGUUCUGCCCCCAGCCCUCUCACCCGAUCUGCAGAAGGAUCUAGAGACCAGGGAGUCACCUGGGGGUUCAGUGGCCACGGAGACCUCAAUUCACCAAGCUGAGGUAAUUUUCCAGGGUGCCUGAGUUCCUCGGGCAUGCCCUGUUCUGUAGCAAAAAGGAAAAGCAGUUGUUCAAGGAGAAGGAGCCGGAGACCUUCAGGGCCAGUUGCGGGGUCUUCCCUGUCCACCCCUGCCUUUUGAUCUGUCUCAGUUAAAGGGCUCGCCCUUUCCCCCACUGCCCCACCACCUGGAAGAAAGACAGCACCCCACUCCCGAGGCCCAGCAAGGGGCCAGAGCUGCCUCAGGCCGGCAGCCAGUGGCCCUCAGGAGGGAAGGGAGGAGGAAAUACAAGUUUGGCAGCAUAAUUGACAUCUGUCCCUUGCCCUCCACAUUUUUCAGAUGCCCCACCUCAUCCCUACAGCCACAUAGCCCACACCCCUCAUUCCUGUUUCUCCCCUUUCCCCCUCACACAUUUCUUUGCCAUUCUUGACUCUCUCAGGACAAACAUGAGCAGGCUUGUGUUGGGGGAAAAUCAGGUGUGAGGGAGCUGUGCACAUUCCCAGGCAGCCCCUUCCUGUCCCACUCUCCCCUGGCGAGGAGCCCAAGGAAACUGGAGAUGGUGGCCCAGAGCAGGGCUCUGCCCUAUCCCCCUCUCAGGCCAGCUGCCCCUGGUCGUGCACAAGCCAGAGGCUGAUAGAUGAAGCAGCUCAUCUGGAAGAAUUCUUGGCUCUCGACAUCAGGAACGGACAGAGUCGCAGGUGGGCCGGGCAGAGGCCUCGUGUGCCAGUGCCUGCCGCCUCCCAUAGACCGUGGAUGGCUCCGAUGGAGAGGGAGUGACGGGGACUGGAUAGGCAGACCCCCUCCUUGAGGACCUCCCAGUCUAAUUAAGGGGAGGGGGGAGCCAGGCGAGUUCUCAGUGGAUGGGGCUGGUCUUAGUGAUCUCCCGACGCCGACCCCUCCCCCCAUCCUGGCCCCCCAUCUGGUGGAUAAUGGGUGCUCAGGGUUUGUUGAAUCGCACUAAACGCAUCAGUGCACAGCUGUGAGCCGAGGUCAGCCUCCUUCCCGAUGUGACCCUUCUCUCAGAG
rnacentral:lncRNA from 1 species